rnacentral:rRNA from 1 species
GACGUAGGGCGCGAGCGUUGUCCGGAUUUAUUGGGCGUAAAGAGCUCGUAGGCGGCUCGUUGCGUCAAUCGUGAAAACCUACUUGCUUAACGGUGGGGCUUGCGGUUUGAUACGGGGCGGGCUGGAGUUCGGUAGGGGAGACUGGAAUUCCUGGUGUAGCGGUGAAAAUGCGCAGAUAUCAGGGAGGGAACACCCGGUGGGCGAAAGGCGGGGUCUCUGGGGCCGAUACUGACGUGGGAGGGAAGCGAAA